UGAAACAUUCCUUGGCUAUCUCUGAGUUACUCACCACCACCGCUCGGUGGAUCCCGAGGUGGAGGGUGAAGAUCGGCCCGUGCUUGUCGGCCAUGGCGGCCAAAGUCAUGUGGGGAAGCUGAGAGCCUCGUAGCUGGUGGAGGUGGCCUAUUAUGGGCCAUGCACCACCAGCUUGUGGUGGUGGACUAUUUUUUGGAGAUUUAUAUUUGGAAGUUAUCGUUUUGCUUAAGUAGUAGAAGAAAACCAGAGACAAAGUGAAAAGUGCAAUGGAAGUGUUUGCUUGUGGGAGAAGGAAGUUUUCCAUGGCAGCUUAUGGCUUUUGGAAAUAAUUUUGGUUCAUGUUGUGCGAUGGUUUUGGGCUUUUGUAUAUAGUAUGCAUGCAGUGGGGUAGCGAGAAUUUCUAUUUAGUGGUGUUAUGGAAUAAGUAAUCAAUUCAAAAAAAAGAAUAUUUGAAUUUCACUGUAUUUUGCAGUGCUAGGUGCUGGUGAAAAAGAGAAGAAAAAAAAAUUAAUUUUAUAUUUAAAAAAGUAAAUAGUACAAUUUUACUAUUUUUGGUGGUGGCGGCGGCAUUCAAAAACAGUAAGAAAAUAUUUUAAAAACUAAUUCUAUUAUUCAAAACAAUAAACUGUACAAUUUCACUGUUCUAGGCAGUAGAUACAGUGUCGGCGGCGGUAGUGAAAAAUAGUAAAAAAAUAAAAAAUAAAUUUACUAUUCAAAAAAGCAAACAGUAUAAUUUCACUUUUCUGGGCAAUAGUGGCAGUGGCGGCGAUGGCGGUGGUUAUGAAAGUGAUGGAAAAUAGUAAAAAAAAAUUAUUAAUAAUUUUAUAGUUCAAAACGACAAACAUUAUUAGUUCACUGUUAUGGACGGUGGCGGCUGUGACGAUAGUGGUAAAAAAGAUUAAAACAAAAAAUUAAUAAUUUUAUUGUUCAAAAAGGCAAACAGUAUAAUUUUACUAUUUUGGGUGGUGGCGGCAGUGGUGGUGGUGAUGGAGAAAAAUAAUAAUAAAAACUUUAAAAAUAAUUUUUUGUUCAAAAUAAGGGCAAAAUCGUCAUAAAAAACUCCAAAAUAAAAAUAGAGGACCUUAGCCAGAAAAUCUUUCAACUUAAUGGACUUCACAAUUUGGCAAAAUAUUUAUUGGACUAAUUGUUAAUUCAAGCCCAACUCAAAUACUUCAGACCAUUUUUUUUUCUAUCAUAAAAGUAUGACAGCUAGAUCCCCAUACACAAUUAAUAGGUCGACCCAAAGAUAAUUAAUACGUGGAUCUUACUUUAAUUAAUAAUAAUAUCCAUAAUUACUCAUAACUUUUUUACCAAAUUAAUUCAUAACAUUAAUUUUUAGUUAUUAUAUCACGUAAAAGUACAAAUAUAUUGGACCUUUAACAAAUGAUUUUUUAUAUAUAAAAUCUCAUAAAAGAAACUACAUAUUAUCAUACAAAAAAUUACAAUAUUCAUAAUUUUAUGUCACAAUAAAUCAUAAGUAAUUUAAAAAAUAUAAAUCAUAACAAUUUUCAUAAAUACUCGUAAAAACUAUUACACUAAUUGGAUCAUAACAAGUUUUUUUCGAUACAUAUAUCAUAAAAAAUGUCUACAUAGUGGACUCCACAUAAAUAAAAAAAAUAAUACUAAAAGUUCUCAUAAAAUUAACCUUAAAUUAUCAUAAAUAACUUGAUGCUAGCAUCUGAAUCUUGUUCAAAAUUUGAGAGGCGUCCUUCCUCCUGAAGUUGUAAACACAUACAUCCACAAAUAACCUGUUUUUAUGAGAUAGUUCAUGUCUUGGCCUAUGUGCAAUGCAAUAAAAUAGAAAUAGAAAAUCAGAUAUAGUUGAUAUGAAGUACUAGUUUUUGAAGAAAAAAGUUUAUGUUUAUCAAGUUUUUGUCACCAUUUUUUUAUUCUAACUGGUUGAAUGUGCGUGAUUGACGACCCGGCUCUUGCCCAAGUGGUCGCCCUCUUGAUUUUUAAGGGUAAAAUUUUGAGUUCGAGCUAAUAAAGGAGUGUCAACACAUUUUAUAACUACUAACAACUAAUUCUUUUUGAUGUAUUAAAAAAAAAGAAUGUACGUGAUUGAUUCUAAUAUUCCAUGUACCCUAGACGUUAUGCAAGGAGAAACCUGAGGACCUGAGGUGAGUCAUUUUAAUUUGUUGAUGAUUUUAAUAAUUAUACGCGGAUUAGAAUUUUUUCAGUUUGCCCAUGAAUAGAACUUAUUGCGUAACCUAAGAAACUUGUAUAGGGAAGAUUGAGGUGGAGUUACAGGGAGAUACGGAAAAAUACCAAUAGCACCGGGGUGACCCUUGAUGGUAGAAAAGAGAAUUGUUUUAGAGGUCGGAUUUUUGGGUGUUUUUAGUCUCAUGAUUGUAUACCUCUACGGAAUAUAGUAGAUUAUUGUUAUUGCCUAUAAACAUAGUCUGGUGUGGGCCAAAUUACGUAAAUUCUUUGUGUGAUUUUUUCUUUAUUGUGUGCGUGAUUAUGCUUCGGUUUGUGUUCGGGGAUGGUGAAAAUUUUUACAUGUGACCUUAAUCAGCAGAGGAAAUAUGAGACGUUAGACAAAUUAUGAGAAAUCCUAUUGUCCUAAAAUUUGGAUUAAGAAAGUUCUUAUAAUUCAAAAUGAAUGAUUCAAAUUUACAUGAGCACAUGAAUCUCACAUAACUAAGUGAUUUUGAACCAUUUAUUUUAAAUUCAUGAAACUUUUUUGAUUCAAAUUCUCGGACAGUAGAGUAUGCAUUCAAUAAUGCGUUCAUGAUACUUUUUUGUGAAUAUAUUACAAUACAUCUCCAAUUAGUAUUGCUUUUAACUAUUUGAAAAGUGUAAUGUUCCUAUAUGUGUUUUAAAUUCUCAUAAUUUGGCUGAUUCACCCAGUGCAGGCGGUACCAAAUCUUACUUUUGUUUUAAUAAUGAAAAUUCUUUGCCUUUAUAAAGCUACAAGAUAAUUACUUUUUUGAAUAAAGAUACCUUGCGAAUGUGCAUAAAACAUGAAAUAAACAUGAACAUUGAACGCACCUUUUCUUGGGCAAAUCAAUUCUAUAGAAACAAGUUUUUUUAUAUAAAAUUUGCAUACAAAAUAAUGUGAGUCGUUUAUAUCAUACUGGCCCACAUUUUUUAGUUGUGUUUCGGCCAAAUAGAACUCAUUUUUGUGCUUGCUUGGCUUGUGUUAGUGUUUAGCACACAUUAUUGAAUAUAAUUGAUACAUUUUUUCUUAUUUUUGUAUACUUGCACGUGUUAAAAUAUUCGAUUUAAAGUAAUUGUUCUCAAAAGUUAGCUCAGCAUACUACCACUCAUUCUCGUGCCAUCGCAGAUCGUGGUUACCAGGACUGAAAUACAUAGAAAGGGAAAAUGGAACUGAUUUGGAAAAAUCCAAAGUGGCUACAGUGUUCGUCGACAAUCUACCAAAAGAUGUAUGGAAGGUAUGGCUAUACAAUCUCUUCUCCAAGUUUGGGAAAAUUCAGAGCAUUUAUAUUCCCAACAAGAAGAGCAAAAUUCUGGGAACCAAUUCGGGUUUGUGAGGAUGGGGAGUCCUCAGAGCUAUAAGGGCUAUAAAGGAAAUGACUGGCUUUGGAUUUGGGAAUAACUCUGGUGGCCAAACAUCGCUUAGAUUUGGGUGUCCAAAUAAAAUGGAGUCCAUAUCAAUCAAGUAUAAAUAUCCGACAGGGAUCACGGAGAGAAGGGUCCAGGGAUUGAUAGAGUCCAUGAGGGAGGGAGAAGUUGCGGAGUGAAUCUAAGUAUGCAAAGGACCUGCCGUACAAUAAACUAGAGAUAAAUCCAAAAUAGAGCAGCAAGUUUGGAGGAAAAAGGAGUGCCAUACAAGAUCAAAUUGAACCAAGGAACUCAUGGGAGAGUGGAAAUUUCCACAGUAAAGGUGAAUGAGUGGGUGAACGGAUGGUUAUAUAGAUGCCAUUGCAAAAAUUUCGUCGACAAGUUUCGAUGUCGAAUUCAGACAACUCAGGAAUCUAGGCGAGGUGCACGUCCUGGUAGGCAUAUGGGUGGUGAAUAUGGUGGUCCUAACGUAUCCAGGAUCGUGGAAGAAAAGGGAAUCUAUGUUUCAGGAAGGUAAAUUGGCAUGGUUAAUAGAAUGGUUUUGUGGAGAUCUUCCAGUGGGAGAAUACCAAUUAAAUCCAUGCGCAGAUGGUAUGGCUAAACUGUUAUGGAAUCCUCUCCAUCUUUGGAAUUUCCAAACCUUCUCAGAAAUUGGAAAAUCUGGGGCGAGGUCAUUAUGCUAGCUGAAGAACACUCAACGUUAUGCCUUCUCGGUGGGAAAAAUAGUUAUAUCAACAACUGUAAUGGAUUUGAUCAAUAAGGUUAUGGAAUGGAUAAUAAUGGCAGCUCUUUCCAAAUCACGCCAUGGAAGAACAACUUGUGUGAAACACAGUUCUACGCACAGAUUGUGCUUGUCCAGGAUUUCAAGUGGAUGCUCAUACACUGAAUCACAACUUGGCUGAAGAAGUAUACAAUCUACCAUGCAAGAGUGUAAUGGCGAGGAUCCGAUUUAAAAUCCCUCUGAUUGAGGAAUUAGCAGAGGCUAUCACUACCGCACUACAAGAUGGUGCCCUCUAUUGUGUGGUCUCAAGUCAUACAAAGGCUGAAGACCUCAUGUCUAGUAAACAUCAAUAGCAUGCAGCGGUUCUUUUCUGGGUCUAGAGGCUAUGAACACACUGCUCGUACACAAGGUUGGGUGACUUAACUCUCAUCAAAGGCAACAGGGUGGCAGCAAUAUCCUAUUUAGAUGCUCUAACGAGCAACUUGAGGCUACCCAAUUGUUGGUACGACCCCCUUAAGGUAAAUACCUCAUCCCCCAAUCCCAGAGUAAAAUAAUCUUAGUAUUGUGGUCCACAAAAAACAGUUACUUGCCUCUAAAGGUAAACACCUUCAUUUCACUAAUUCCAAACCAUAUACCUCAGAGCUGAGAAGAGCCUCAUUAUUGUCUCCCCCCCAAAAAAAGGCACCCCAAGGGCCCUAAAGGAUUUCAUACCAGACUCCAAUUUACCUUCAGUUCUGAUGCUCUGGAUGAGAAACCAAAAAGGAGCAGAUGUUAGUAGAGGAUAUUCUAGGACUAUCAAAACCCCGAAGACUAAGAAAGGGGAGGAUGGAAACAAAAAUGUGUAGUAUUUAGACAGCUAUGGCUGCUGUCUUUGCACUGUCGUGUCCACAGAUGGGAUUUACAAACAUGAAAAAGAUCCUACUAAGUGAAUCCAAAGCUGCGCGGGGGUGCGUGUCAGGGCAAAAAUUUUGGGACCUGAUUAUAUGGGUAAUGAUGAAUAAGUAAUUAGUAGGAUAAUGGUUGUAGUGAUGAGGAAGCUGAGCUGAGACUAUAUCCUUGCUGUCUAAUUCCCAAGUAACAGUUUCAAACACAGGCAGUAUGAAAAUUCCUCUCCCUGAAUUUAGAGGUUGGGGAAGAGGGAAAAGGGAGUAACAGUGAAAGAAAUUCUAAGUAUCUAAAGGUGGACAUGUUGCUACUACAAUAAACAAGCUUUAAGGACUUAAGCCUAUCAUCUUACAGUCCAUUUGGGGGAUAUCUGAGGUUUUUUUGGUACAUGUUGAUGCUGAUGGGAGUGCUGUGGUCUAAUUACUCUAUGGAGGACUGAUUCCCUUCAUGUUAGAAUCCUCAUGUUGUAAUAGAAACUUAUUUUGUAGUGGUGUCAUUCUACCUGAUUUCCCUGUACUAUCUUGAACGUGUAUGGGCGCUAUACUGUCUCUGAAAGGGAAAGGAUUUGGGGGGGUUUCAACUUGUCCCCUUAAAAGCCAAUUUCCUCUGUCCCUGGUGUAUGGGUGAGAUUUAAUGAAGUUAGAAAUCUGAGUGAAAGGCAAGGUUAUUCUAAUAGGGACAGAGGGAUGAUGGGGGGGGGAAGACUACAUAACUUCAUUGAGGCUAUGGCUGAGUAGACAUCAAUUGAAUUGGUAUGAAGUUACAUGGUCAAACAAUCAGAGGUAGAGAAGUGGAGUAGAAUUGAUAGGUUUCUUUAUUGAGUCAACAUUGGCUACCAGGUUUAAUUAAAGAUGGGGGCCUGCAAAACUAUUUCUGAUCAUUGCCCAAUUUUAUUAAAGUUGAUGAUAGGGAUCGGGGCCCAAAGCCAUUUACAUUUUUAAUGCUUGGCUAUCUAACUCCAAUUGUAUUCGAAUAGUGGAGAAUCUGGGCUAAGUAAUUCUGAUCAAGGGUUUGGGGGGCAGCUUUUGAAUCCAUAAGAAAUUAAGAAUUGAAGCUUCCCUUCAAACUCUGGGCAAGGAAAGUUUUGGAGGGUUACUAGUCAAAGAUUGAGAUUGUGGAAGAGAUCUUCAGGAUUUGGAUAUAAAAGCUGAGAAUGGUAUUCUAUCUGAUGCUGAUAGGACACAAAGAAGGAUCUGAGGUCAGUUAAUGUGGAAGCUAAGUAGAUCUAUGGACAGAUGUGGUGGCAAAAAGAAGUCCGAGACUAAAUGGCAACUUCAAGAAGACAAAAAUUCGAAGUUCUUCAUUCAGGGUCAUAAUGGCAAGCAUGAUAAAAUAAACUUAUUUUAGUCAAUUAUGAGCAAAUUGAGGAUCCAAAUCUAAUAUAAGCAAGCGUUUCCACUACUUCAAGGGCUUGUAUGAAGAAAUAUGGCAAUUAGGCCAAUGUCCAUAGAAAGGCCAAGGUUAAUAUCAUAGUGGUUAAUGCAGAUCCAUUUGUGUUCUUUUACUGAGGAUGAAAUCUGAGAUGUAUCACAUCCUGUGAUGGGAACAAGGCUCCUGGACCAGAUGGAUUCAAUAUGCUAGUAUUAAGAAAGGCAUGGUAUUGUCAUGAAACAGGAUAUUCGAUUUAUGGAUAAUUCCAUAGUAAACUUAAGCUACCCAAAUGCUUGAAUUCCUCUUUUAUAACCCUGAUUCCCAAAGUUCAAAGCCCCAUGUCUCUGUCGAAUUUCUCUCAAUAAGCCUCAUAGGAAGUAUGUUAAAAUUUUUGGCAAAGUCUUGGCAUGCAGAAUUAACAAGGUAUUCCUAUGGUAUUGGGAGAGGUCCAAUCAGCUUUUAUAGUGGAGAACUAUCCCAGAUGGUAUCCUUAUUGCAAAAUGAGGUGGUGGAGGAUGAAAAGAGUGAAACAGGGUCAUCAUUAUCAAGCUAGACUUUGAAAGGCUUUGAUACAUUAAUUGAACUAUUUGUUGAAAAUGAUGGAUCUCAUGGGAUUUCCUCAAAGGUGGAGAGAUUGGAUUAAAGAGUCCUUUCUUCUGCAAGUGUUUCUGUCUAGUAAAUGCUCUCCUUGGUAAGAGUUUUCCGAUGCAUAAGGGGGUCAGACAGGGUGAUCACUUCGUGCCUUUCCUAUUCAUCUAGGCAGCUGAAGGGCUAAACUGGAUUCUUAAGAGGGCUUAUAGUCAUGGGGUCAUUCAGUGGUCCUACAUAUGGGUACUGCUGGGAGUGAUUUUCUCACUUACCAUUGCUGUGACUAUUAAUUUUUUGUCACACAAGGUGGAAGAGGUGGUUUUCCUUAAGAAUCUCUAGGGAACUUUGAGUCAAGUAUCUGGACUAAAGAUCAACUACAUAAAUGCUGUAAUGUGUAGUGUGGUGGGCUCGCAAUAGAUGGGUGAAGUCCUUGGCCAAUGUCCUAAACUGCCAAGGUCCAAAAGCUGCUUCCCAUAAAUACUUUGGGCUUCCUCUUGGAGCUAAUCCCAAUUGAAAGAAACCUGGAAGCCAUGGUUGAAAGGUCGAUCAAGAUUGUCUUCAUGGAAGAGGAGGAACCUAUCAUUUGGUGGUAGAAUUGUAACUAAUCACCGCUGCUUUUUUAGCCUACCUUUAUCCUAUAAUUUCAAUAUUCACGAUGCCAUUGGUGUGAUUAAGCAUUAGUCAUACAAGCAAGAUUUCUAUGGGGGGGCUCUGACCUCAGAAAAAUUGCACUUGGUUGGCAUGGUCAAGCCUCAAACGUAACUCUGUGUGGGGGUCUUGUAUCAGAACAUUAAACUUAUGUAAUGAGUGCCUAUUGAUGAAGUGGUGGUGGAGAUUGGAUUGAAAAAUGCCCCUGGAGGCAAGUCUUAAAUGCCAAAAUACAAAAGUGGAGGGGAGAGAUGAUUCCAACAUGGAGCUAAAUAGGAAAGUAUCAAAACUUGAAGAGACUUAUGCUAAUUUGUGUACGGCAACAUUGCUUUUCGAGGCUUUCAUAGAAAAUGCAGCUGAGAAUUGGGGAUGGUAGAUCAAUCAUGUGUUUUGGGAGGAUAUAUGGCUAGGCAACUCCCUCUUCAGUCCUUUUUCCCCACUCUGUUUAAAUCUUAAGCAACAGUCUGAGACCUUGGGUGAUGUAUUGGCAAGAUUUGAGGAUCUUCAUGGCUGGGUUGUUUUGUUCAGAAGACCUUGCUGGUAGGGAAUCAGAAGCCUUACAGAGCUCAAGGAGGUAAUUGGAGGGUUCUGAAGUGGGUGGCCACAUCAGAUAGGCAGGAUUCAGGUUAAUUUGGCAAGGCUCCUUCUGUAAUUUUCUGUCAAGUGCAUUAUAACUGGGCGUAUCUCUACUCAUUCAAGUGUUUAUCAGAAUUUUGAGUUAAUCUGGCAGAAUGUUGGGCCCCCCCCCCCGUUGCAAUGUUUUGGUUGGCUAACUAUCUUGGCAAGUAAAACUGCUGAUUUCCUAUUCAGAUUAGUUAUAUCCAGGAUGAGUGUGAAUGCUUUGUGCUCAUUUUGCAACAUGACUUGAACUCUAGAUCAUUUAUUGCUUCAUUGCUUCCUGUUUGGAAUUGUUGGGCUGCCAUUCUAGGUGGGUGUGUGUUGUCUGGGUAGCCCCUGCAUCUAUAGGCGUUUGUUUUAUUGGGUGAGAGCCUGGUCCUUGGAACUCACGGGUAAAGCAUCUGGACUCCAAGCCCUUUGGCUGUGUGUUGUCUAUAUGGAAUGCUAGAAACAAAAAAAUUUUGAUAACACCCAGUGAAUUGCUUGAUAUUGUUUGAUCUCAUUAUUGGCUUCGCAUAGCCUUCUGGGUAUCAUCAAGCACGGACGUAGAGAUCUAUCAAUGGAGCAUCCAAUAUAGAGAUGAAUUCAGGGAUUCGUGAAAGGUAGAAUUCCCCAAUCCUUUGUUGAUAGGAUUCUUUUGGGUGUCUUUGGAUCUUUGGACAAGUUACGGGUUUAACUCUGAGUUGGAUCCCCAAAGGUUGUUGAGCUUCUUGUAUGUUAUGGAGUUCAUGUUGUUUGUAAUUGUUAGUUUUAGUCCGUUUUUUCUUUUGGUUGGGUGGAAGGGUUGAUUGCUUAUCACUGUCUCUUUAGCCUAUUAUGUUAUUCUGUUCUCAUUUCAAUGAAACUUUCUUCUCGCUGGUUCAAAAAAAAAAAUAUUCGAUUUAAACAAUUUUAUUUACAAGUUAUUUUUGUGAGAGUUGUAGGAACUUUGACGUUAAAGACGUCCUCCUACCCACGUUUGAGUAUAUCGAGGAAGUUAUGAUGAAGUCAAAUGGCUAGGAGAAGCCCGGAGUGGCAAUGUGAGACCAAAAUGAGACCUAGGCAACCAAAGCAGAAGAACUACUGGUAGUUGAUGCAGGACUACCAGUGGACAAGGCAUUUCAAAGGCGAAAUCAGAAUAUUCACUACUAGUAGUGAGUUCAGCACUACUAGUAGUCCAUACUUCCAUAGAUUAAUCAAGGUUUAAGCACUACCGAUAGUGGAUUCAUGAUUACCAGUAGAUGGAGGAUUCAGGCAGCUCCAAAGACAAAAGAAUUAUCGGUAGUGAAUGCUUAAACCAGAACUUUUUUAACUUUUAUGUGCAACUUUUAAGGGUAUUUUCGCCUUUUCAUUAGGACUUUUUUACGGUCUAUUUAAACAACUUUUUUAAAAUUUUCAAGAAUUGAAUUCAUUUUAGGUUUAACUCCAUUUUAGAUCUAGAAGUUAUUAUAGAGAGAAAGAGAAGAAGAAGUGGGUUUAUGUAUUAAAAGUUGUAAAUCUUUAAUUUUUCUACUCUCAUUUGCUCAUUUAUGAUUAUAAGUACUUUUUAUUGUUAAUUUUAAACAAUUUCAAUUUCUCUGAACUACUUGUUGUGCUUCUUCUUUUUUUAUAUUUCUUGUCUUUUCAUUUUCUACUUUUUAUUUAAUCUUUUGUAGUAUAUCACCUUAAGAUGAACUCUACACAAUUAUGGUUGCUACCCACUAUUUUGGGACUUGGUCGCAAGAGUUAGAUUUCCAUUUUUUGACCUAGGUUUGAUUGGUUAAUUGUCUCUAAAAUGGUUUACACGCGUGUUUGAAAUAUUAGGGCAAAAUAUUGUGCAGUCUUAACUAGGUUCCAUAUAUCCUUUAAUCCAUGUGUCAACAAGCUUGCCUUGGGUACAUUGAUGCUUAGUUUCCCUGUACUCUAAGUGUGUUUGAUAAAAUGUCUCAAAACCUUUAAUCAUUCACAAACACACUCAUUUGUAUGAGAAACAUGAUUUUAAACUUAAAUCUUUCAACUAAUAUCAUAGUAAAAAUGAGAUGUGGUUGAGUUAAAUGAGAGAAAAAACUCACCUACCAAAGUUAAGAAGGAAUCGAGUUUUUAAACUUUGCCUCCUUUAAUUUUAUAGUUAAAUUACUAUAGUGUAAACAAAAUCAACAUUUCACAACCAAAACAUUUUUCAUAACUUUAAUAUUAAAUUAUUUGUUUACUCACUAUAGAAAAUUCGGCUUAUCAUUAGUUCCCUAUUGAGAAUUGAUAUCAGGCAUUCUGAAUAUUAUGCUGCAUUGAUCACAGGUUUUUACGCAUGGAAACAUACGCAUUUGGAAAGCAAACAGUUAGUUAGAAAGCAAACUAUGAGAGAGUGAAAUAGGUUUGCUAAGAUUUAAUGGCCAGUUAAAUUUCUUCUCAAUAACUUACACAAACAAUGAACUUCUAGAUUUAGCAUGUAAGCAAUGUAAAAGGAGAGAAGAGAAAAUGAUGCAAAUGAUUUAGAGUGAUUCGGCGAAUCUUGGCGUACAUCCACUCUCUAAGCUUUUUCUUGAAAAUUCACUAACUUCAAGCUUAAGGGUAUUUGAUAACAUUUACAACUACUAGAACUCUUCUAGUCUUUAAGAUACUACUUCUCUUGAAAAUUCUCAAUCACUAACAGUGAUCUUCUUAAUAAAAUACAAUAGUUUGAAGUAACUAUUUGCUCAUAUAAUCUAGAUUGAUAAUAAAUAUAUUGAAGCUCUCUUGUCUAGAGUUAUCUAACUUUCUUGAUCUCAAUCAAGCGCAUAAUGAAUGACCUCAAUUAAGCGCACAAUGAAUGGAAGUAAUGAAUACAAGUGAGUGUAAGGAUUAAAAGCACUUCAAUUACUUUUCCAACAACUCCAAUGAUUGAAUUUAUAAACCAAAAAUGAAUUAUAGUCAUUGUAGCAUUAAAUGCAACUGAUUUAGUCGUUCUGAUUUAAUCACAGUUGUUGGAUCUAUGAUUUAGACGUGCAAGAUCAAACUUUCAAACUUUGGUCGAUCGAACUUGAAUUUCGAUCGUUUGAACUAAAAGUCCAUAGGCUUGCAUUUCUUGUUUGCUGAGAGUUUUAUAAUUUUCGGUCGACCGAACUUGAACUUCGGUCGUGUUUGAAUUAUAAUUCUAGUGAGCACUUAUGUCGCUCUGCUUUUUGUUUGAUCUUCGAUCGGUUGAACCCUCUGAACUUUGGUCGUGCGCUUCUAAAUUUCGGUCGAUCGAAUGUAAACUUUGGUCGUCAUGAACUAUAUUUCCAAAGAACAAGUCUGUCUUGAACUUUUGAUUUUUCUGUCAUUUGGCUGACCUUUAUACAAGUUCAGUCGUGGCUUCCUAACUUUGGUUGACCGAAAGUAAAGUUCGGUCGUCCUUUAACUUAAAUUCUAGUGAGCAAUUUAAACACUUGUUUUGUUCCUUCAAACUUCGGCUAAGCCUCUUAUGCUUCAGUCGACUAGUUCGGUCAAUCGAACUUUUGACAAUAACAACUUUUGUGUUAUUUUUUUGUUUUGAGUGUUGAAUUUGUUCUUUUGCCUCUUUCGUAUACUCAAUGACACUGAUUAUGACUUGUGAGGAGUUUCAACUCUCACUUUAAUCGUGAGUAAACCUAUUUUUAAGACCACUGUUGUAUUUCCUUAUUUAAAAUAAUUUUCAACAAAAGUUUAUCUUUAACUUAGCUUUUAACAAUUGUAAUCAUCAAAAUCAAAUAAACAUUUAUUUCAACAGCUUGUCUUUAUGGUUUGGGGGAGGUGUAUGGGCGUAGGAGGGGUUGGGAAGGAACUUGAUAGGUUUAUACUUACUUGGUUUUUCUCUUUGCUUAUUUUCAUGACUUGUUUAACUUAGUUUUUUUUUAAAAAAAAACUACAGUGAUUUUUUACUAUUUCUUAGCCAUCCCAAGCAGAAAAGUUGAUUUCUUAUCUCACUUUUUGUAUUUUAGCCACAAGUAAAAGAAUAGCUAAACCAAACGGGGCCUUAGUGAGAGAGCAAUGGUACAUACAUAUAAUAGUUACAUAUAUUGUUCAUACAUAAUACGGUAGAUCUUUUUUCUCUUCUAUUUUUUUCAUAAUAAAGUAUUAGUUACUAUGAGAGGAUAAAAUAUCCCGCUUCAUUUCCGGUAGAGCUUUAACGAGCGCUGUCGUUGGACUGUCACUUUAUAGCAAGUUCGGUCAGUAUUUUCACAAUUUUUUGAGCGACAGUGGCAGUGGCGGCGAUGGCGGUGAUGGUGAAAAAUAGUAAAAAAAUUAUUAAUAAUUUUAUUAUUUAAAAUAACAAACAAUAUAAUUUUACUGUUAUGAGUGGUAGCGGCAAUGACAAUAGUAGUGAAUAAGAGUAAAAAAAUAAAAAAAAUAAUAAUUUUAUUACUCAAAAAGGAAAACAGUACAAUUUUAUUAUUUUGGGUGGUGGAGGCAAUGACGAUGGUGGUAGAGAAAAAUAAUAAUAAAAAUUCAAAAAUAAUUUUGUUUUCAAAAUAAGGGCAGAAUCAUCAUAAAAAACUCCAUAAUAUAAAUGGAGGACCUUAGCCAGAAAAUCUUUCAACUUAAUGGACUUCACAAUUUGGCAAAAAUAUUUACUGAACUAAUUGUUAAUUCAAGCUCAAUUCAAAUACUUCGGACCAAUUUUUUUUUAUCAUAAAAGUAUGACAGCUGGAUCCUAAUACACAAUUAAUAAGUGGACCCAACGAUAAUUAAUAAGUGGAUCCCACUUUAAUUCAUAAUAAUAUUUAUAAUUAGUCAUAAUUAUUUUACUAAAUUAAUUAAUAACAUUAAUUUUUGGUUAUUAUAUCUCAUAAAAGCACAGAUAUAUUGGACCUUGCGUUAAUUAUACAUGGGCCCACAUAACAAAUGAUUUUUUUUAUUUUAUAAAAUCUUAUAAAAUAAACUAUGUAUUAUCAUAAAAAGAAACUACAUUAUUCAUAAUUUUAUGUCACAAUAAGUCAUAAGUAAUUUAAAAAAUAUUGUCAUAAUUACUCGUAAAAACUAUUAAACUAAUUGAAUCAUAACAAGUUUUUUUGGACACAUAUCAUAAAAAAUAUCACAGUGGACUCUACAUGAAUAAAAGAAAUAAUACUAAAAGUUCUCAUAAAAUAAAAUGGACCUUAAAUUAUCAUAAAUAACUUGAUUCUAGCAUCUUAAUCAUGUUCAAAAUUUGAGAGGCAUCCUUCCUCCUGAAGUUAUAAACACAGACAUCCACAAAUAACCUGUUUUUAUGAGAUAGUUCAUGUCUUGGCCUAUGUGCAAUGCAAUAAAAUAGAAAUAGAAAAUCAGAUAUAGAUAUGAAGUACUAGUCUUUGAAGAAAAAAAUUAUGUUUAUCAAGCUUUUGUCACUAUUUUUUUUUAUUCUAACUAGUUGAAUGUUUGUGAUUGACGACCCGACUCUAGCUCAUGUGGUUGUUCCCUUGGUUUUAAGGGUAAGAUUCUGAGUUCGAGCUGAUAAAGAAGUGCCGACACCUGUUAUAACUACUAACAACUAACUCUUUUUGAUGUAUUAAAAAAAAGAAUGUACGUGAUUGAUUCUAAUAUUCCAUGUACCCUAGGGCAUAGACGUUAUGUAAGGAGAAACUUGAGGUGAGUCAUUUUAAUUUGCUGAUGAUUUUAAUAAUUGUACGUGGAUUAGAAUUUUUUGAGAGUUUGCCCAUAAAUAGAACUUAUUGGGUAACCUAAGAGACUUGUAUAGGGAAGAUUGAGGUGUAGAUAAAGGGAGACACGGAAAUAUACCAAUGGCACCGGGGUGACCCCUGAGGGUUGAAAAGAGAAUUGUCUCAGAGCUUGGAUUUUUGAGUGUUUUUAGUCUCGUGGUUGUAUACCUCUACGGAAUAUAGUGGAUUACCGUUCUCGCCUGUGAAUGUAGGUUGGCGUGGGCCAAAUAACUUAAAUUCUUGUGUAAUUUUUUCUUUGUUGUGCGUGUGGUUAUGCUUCGAUUUGUGUUCGGGAAUGGUGAAAUAUUUUACAUGUGACCUUAAUUAGCAGAGGAAAUAUGAGACAUUAGACAAAUUAUGAGAAAUUCUACAAGUCCAAGAAGUUGGAUCUAGAAAGUUCUUAUAAUUCAAAAUAAAUGAUUCAAAUUCACAUGAGCAUAUGAAUCUCGCAUAAUCAAGUGAAUAUGCACCAUUCAUUUUGAAUUCAUAAAACUUUUUUGAAUUUAAAUUCUUGGACCAUAGAUUAUGCAUUCAAUAAUGCGUUCAUGAUACGUUUUUUGUGAAUAUAUUACAAUAAUAUCUCCAAUUAGUGAUUGCUUUCAACUAUUUGAAACGUGUAAUGUUGACAUAUAUGUGUCUGUAUUCUCAGUAGAUUUUGCUGGAUGCACCCAGUGCAGGUGGUACCAAAUCUUACUUUUGUUUUAAUAAUAAAAAUUCUUUGCCUUUAUAAAGCUACGAGAUAAUGACUUUUUUGAAUAAUGUUACCUUGCGAAUGAGCAUAAAACAUGAAAUAAACAUGAACAUUGAACGCACCUUUUCUUGGGCAAAUCAAUCCUAUAGAAACAAAGUUUUAUAUAAAAUUUGAUUAUAAAAUAAUGUGAAUCGUUUAUAUCAUGCUGGCCCACAUUUUUUAGUUGUAAUUCUUCUAAACAAAAUUCAUUUUUUUUUCCUGUUUGGCUUGUCUUUAUAGUUGGGCGAAUGAUUUUUAGCUUGUAAACGCUCUCGCAAAACCCCUAAAUUUUGUUACCGUAAUAAAUUGUAUGCAGCGGUGUUAUGGUGAAAUAAAAACCAGAGAAGUUUGAAUUAUUAGGUUGAAAUGAACAGACCAAAAGCAAGAAUAAAGUCCAAUCCUGGUUUUAAAGGUUACAACUUGACUUGUGAACUUAAAAAACACCAUAAGCUAACAACAAGAAGCCCUGUUUUAUUCAAACUGUAACUCAAAUCAUUCAAUUCAGUAGCCGUAGAGCUUCGUGGGCAGGCGUGGGGUGAGAAGAACCUCCAAUGGCGUUGCUUUCGGAAUAGUCAGCCCUGGACUCUCACUCAUAUCAACUGGCAAAUCCAGUGGGCUUGCCAAAUCGAACCCGUGAAGGAGACGGGCAAGGGUCAGGUGCAGGACUUGGAGAGCAAACGACACACCCGGGCAUGACCGCCUGCCUGAACCAAAAGGAAUGAGCUCAAAGUGUUGCCCUCUCACAUCAACAUUUUCGUGGUUGGUGAAAAACCUCUCUGGUUUAAAGAUCGAUGGAUCGGUCCAAACUCUCGGGUCCCUCUGAAUCUUCCAUAUGUUCACUAUUAGGCGGGUCCCGCCUGGGACGUUGUAGCCGCCUACAGUACAACUUUCCAUGGCUUCUCGGGGUCCUAAGAGCGGACCGGCAGGGUACAAACGCAGGGUUUCCUUGAUGAUGGCUUGAAGAUAGAUAAGGUUUUUGAUGUCUGAAUCAUCAACUUGUCUGUCCGCACCAACAUGGAGGUCUAAUUCUUCUUGUGCUUUCUUUAACGCUUCUGUGUUGUUCAGAAGUAACGAGAUUGCCCACGUCAACGUGCCCGCGGUGGUGUCGCUGCCACCUAGGAUGAGUGCCUGCAUAAAAAAAUUAAACCAAUUCAAUUAUCCGGAUAUAAAAUGCUAUGUACCCAAUAAAAGUGGCCCAAAAAGAACCCCCCAAAAAACUUUAAGAGAUAGUUAUAGGACUCUUCAACCUAUUUGAUCACUCAUUAGCUAUAUAGAUUAAAGAACAUAGCAUACCAAGCAGGUAGAUUUGAUGCUAGUAUUUGAAUCAUGUUCAAAAUUUGAGAGCCGUCCUUCCUCCUGAAGGGACAGCAUCACAUCAAUGAAAUCCUGCUCGCUCUUAGCCUCACCAGCCCUUCUCCUUUGACGAUGCUCCUCCAACCAACCUUCGAGUAUCGAAUCCAACUCUUUGGCAGUCUUUUUCAUCGCUCGCUCGUGGCCAUUCACAUCAAACCACCCCAAGAAUGGAAGUGCAUCAGAGACCACGAAAAUGCCAAUGAGGUGAAAGAACUGACUAAUCGCCUUCUGGCAACGUCUGGCUUCGUCAUCAUCACAGUCAGCUCCAGCACCAAAAUAGCGUUUUCCAGCCACCAUUCUAACAACAACGUUAAGUGUGAGAUCUUCUAACCAACGUUUGAGCUCCACAAGCACAGGGCGGUUUCUGUCUUUGAGUCCACAAGUUGUACAGCUCCCCAAUCCCCAUGUUCACUUCGGAAGUCCGCACGUGUUUGAGCAUUUCAAGCCGGCGGUUUGAGAGGAGCUCGAGGGUGGCAAUCUUCCGCAUCUCGCGCCAGAAGGGGCUGUAUGGUGCAAAACCAAACACCGCGUAGUUGUAGCCCAUUAGCUUUGCAGCUGCAGUAGUGGGACGAGAAGCAAGUGCCUUGUCAUUAUCAGUGAAGCAUUCUUUCGCUACUUCCCAGCUAUUCACUACGAAAGCACGGCGACUACCGAGGCGGAUGUUGAAUGCUGGUCCGUACUUAUCGGCCAUGUCUCCGAGUGUUCGGUAGAGAAGCUGAUCGACACCACCAAGUAAAUGGAGGUGGCCGAUAAUUGGCCAUGCACCAGCUGGUUGAGGAGCUUCUUUGACAGUAAUCAUGCUUGUUUUUUGAUUCUUCUUUCCAACUAAAGCACAGUAAACAAAAACCAAGGUAACAAACGCCCCAAUGACUGGUAAACAGAAAGAAGAGUCCAUUGUUUGGUGAUGAGAUAAGCAGGGACAAUAGACCGGGUCCAUUUAUAAGCCCAUUUCAAGAGCAUUUCGAGCAUGAAGCAUACCACAUUUUGGUUAAAAUUCUGAUUCCUGGCAUGGUACAUGACCUGCCUUUACUUUUAUUCAAAUCCACAUACAUACAUAGACAAAUUCACUCAUGGACACUCAGGGUCUACAUUCUUAAUUGCCUAUAGCACACAGACAGUUGGACUCUACCCCAGUUACUUCCAAAUAAUACAGGAGAUUCUCUACCUACCCGAGCAACCCAUGGAAUUUUUGAUGAUUAUGUGUGUAUAAUGAAAGGUAUUAAAAGACAUUGGACCUAUUCCAAUUGUUUAAAAUACUAACUAUAUAACAAUCAAUUACCAAAACAUCAUGCACACAACUAAGCCAAUAUUGGAACUCUAGCCUGCAUCAUUUUAAUGAAGAAAAUUAACAAAACAGAACCAAGAUAAGCAUUUGGAUUGACCCUGAAUGUCAUUCUUCUUUGUUCAGUUGUUUGUGGAAAAAAUGAAUGUUUUCUUUCACUUUUCACAUUUGAGUAACAGUAUGCUGACUAUAUGGGUCUGUACAAUUGAGAGUGGGAGAAACCAAUAUAUACAUACAUAUAUUUAAAAAGAGACCAUUGCACUUUCACUAACAUUUCAGUUCGCACCUUUCAUUUCCAAUUGUGUCAAUUUAUCCAAUACACUUUAGGUCAAGGUUCAAUGUGUCCUUUGCUUCCAUUUUAUAUUCAAUAAAGUGAUAGAAAGAGGCCAUGUGGCCUCACGAAAGGAGACCCAGCGCUCCCCCAAAAAAAAAAUUUUGAAUGGCAAAUGGAUGGAAGGGCUAUAUUGACACUUGACUUAAGAGUAUAGGAAAUUGACUAAUACAAUUGAAAGUAGAGGGUGCAAAGUGAGAUUUCAUGAAAAGUGAAAUUAACCUUAUAAAUAAUGCAGGGAAUCACAAGAGUCAACUCACUCCCCUACAAGAAAAAAAAAAAAAGAGAAUGUGGAAUAUUAUAUAUAUCAAAUUGAAUUAUGAUGCUGAGUAUGGUUAUAGAUUGACUAGAAUGUUUACAGAGGUUUCAGAUUUCCUUUAGCAUAAUAGUUGCAAGGAGAGUGAGACUGUCAAACCUUCAGUAUUUGAAGCAUGGAUCAUGCCGCUCUACCACCUUCAGUAUGGUGUUUGAAGCAUGGUUCCUCCAGCUUUUUGCUAAAAAACAAAAGGUGUAUACGCAUGGAUGAAUGAAUAUGCUGAUAUUUGACAAGUCAGUUAUAUUGUGACAUAUAACAGAUGCAUGAUAUUUGACAAGUCAGUUCUGGUAACACAUGAUAGAAUAUGACAGUACUGAAAGGAUCAAACUAGUUGUAAGGUAUCAUUUUAUGGAAUGUAUGUGUUUCUUAGCUUUUCAGCAACAAAGCUCUUGUUAAUAAACAAGUUUUUCUUCUUUGCUAUUCAAAAUUUUCAGGUUUUUCCAAAGUGGUUUGUUAAUAAACAACUAAGGGCUAGCGACUCUUCGGUUUUGCAUGAUUGAUAACUCUUAUUGUAUACAUGAAGAGUAUCUCCCACUCAGACCAUAACAAAUGUUAGAUCAAAGAUGGUCAUAGGGAUGACAAAUGGAUUUUUUUACCAAAAAUUUCCAUAGAAACAUAGGUCAAACAACAAACCUCAUAACCGCCUUUGUUUUGUGGACUAAAAUGCACCUUCAAAUACCAUUAACUAUUUGUAAAUUGACAUAACCUCAGUCAUCACCACCAGCCAAUUCCUACAACACUCCCAUAUACCCCGACACCCGUCACACAAAUUGAGACCUAAUUGAAUAUAAUAAAGAUCUUCAUUCAAACAAAGGAACUUUGCAAUCCCAGAUUCCUGAUUGGAAAACUAUCAUAAUGAUGUUGGAGUGGGAAAACCUUAAAAUUACUCCCUUUGUGAGACCUACAAAUGGGCUAAUCUUUUAUAAGUUGUAACAUAAUAAAGGGUGUUUUAAAAAUUAAGGAGUUGGGUUUAGAAACUUGCUUGCAAAUACUUGGGUGUCCCUGUUGAACAAAUUCAUAGUGGUUAUGGAAAAACAGUGGAUUCGAGUGAGUCAUUUGGAAAAAGAGUGAACACCGGCUCUAGGAGUAACCCAUGCCCACUUCCCAAACGCCUAAUUCAGCUACCCUAUGAUAGUCCAACAGCCAACAAUUGUAACUUCGAUAGACUUUGGCUGUUGAUUCAAUCAUCCAACUAAUUUACUUAUAGGUUUGAUUACGUGCCAUGUGGGCUUGGUUUGGUGAUGUACAAAAUUCCAUAUGUGGAUUUAGUUUGAUGAUGUAAGUAAAUAGAGUUAGGCAGCAAAAGAUUCUCAGGCAAACAUCUGGGUUUAACUUGAUGAUGGCCAUAAGUGAGACGGCGAGAGAUGGGGGAGGGAGGGGAGUGGUUGGGAUCAUGUGGAAGAGAUGGUGAUGGUAGUGGAAUAUCGGAAUGGUGGGGAAGGAGGGAAGCGGUUGGGGUGGGAAUCCAGAUUAAGAGGAGUGGUGAAGGGAAAAGAAGAGAAAAAUGUCUUUUUUGUAAUUGAAAGCAUAACAAGGGUAAUUUUUUGAUGUUAUAACAAAUCCAUUCUCGACCUCGACACGUGUCCUGCACGAACUUUUAACUGGGAUGGAAGGUUUGACAAGUACUUUAGUCCACUAACCAUAGAAUGUUAUGAGAUUAAUUUCCAUUGACACAGAGUAAUCUGCACAUAGCCCAAAUCACAAGGGGUAAAAUGAAGUUUACCCUAGUUACAAUGAUAUAAGCCUCAAUUACCUGGAAUACUGGAAUUUUAUCCGAUUACAUCUCUAGAUGUCUAUAACAUUCACUUCAACACCCAUAGAACCUUGUUGGGAGGUGGAGGAUAAGAAUAACCUUCGGCAGGGUUGCUUUUGGACAGUCAAACCGUGGCUUUCAGUGAUGUCAGCAGGCCUGAUCCAAUGGGAUUGUCAACUCAAAAGCAUGAAAAGGAUAAUCAAGUGUUAGGUAAAGGAGUUGGAGCCAAAAGGACAAACCCGUACAGGAAGUCAACCAGAACCAAAAGGAAUAUUCUCAACUUCUUGGCCCCUUAGAUCAUAGUCGGCAUGGCAAGUGACAUCCGUCAGGUUGAAGGUGGAUGAAUUUUCAAGAUUCUUGGAUCUCUUUGAAGCUUUCAUGCAUUCACAAACAAGAUGAUGCCUGCUAGGAAUUUGUUGACGGAUGUGCAUCUUCUUUGAUUUCGACAUUUCUUCCAACACAAAACAUCCGGAAAAAAUGACUCCCAUAUCCUACGCUAAAACGGAAAUAUCCUACUCCGAUGCCAAAGAUAGAGGCUCAACCUGGUGAUGUCAAUCCUUGAUAACAAGGACACACGAGCACAUGACUAAGAGGGAGAAGUGCUUUAAUCAGAGAAAGGGAAGUCUAUGGCUUCCUGUCCUAAGUAGGGACCUACUGAGUAUAGACACAUGGUUCGAUGAUACACGGGGAUUUUGAAGAUCGAAUCAUCAACUCACCGGUCCUCACCACCAACGAAAUGGAAUCAUGGUACUUGUGCCUUUUCACGCCUUCACAGUUGGUCAAGGCACAUGUUAGUGUGCCUCAUGUUCUGUUAUUGCCAAUGGUGAGAGCCUGCAUAACAAGUUCAUAGAAACUUUAAAAUCCAACAUACAUUUGAAUUUUCUAUUGAAAAUUCUUUAAGCAUUCAUAAAUGGAAAAUCCAUAUUUCUAAAGGUGUCUUAUCAUUAGCAGUGACUACUCACCACGAAAAGCAUGGCGAAGACAUGGCAGAACUUGAAUGCUGAUCCAUACUGGUCACCCAUGGCUCCGAGUGGCCUGUUUGGCAACAAACCUCAUCACGAUCACCCAGUAAAUGAAACAGUUGGUUCAGGAGCUUCUUUAGAAGUCUGACCAUGUUUAACAUUCUUUGGUGUUCCAAGCAACGCGUUAUAGAGACAGACUACGGAGAAAAUAUCACAAUGGCGUAUAAUUGGAAAGAAAAGUCCAUGGCAAGAGAUAAGCAGGAAUAGAGAAGAACCCCCAAUAAACUUAUACUUCCGUACCAACAAUAUUCAAUUCGUACAAAAUGAAGCACGCGAGAUGAGCAAACAUGGAGAACAACCCCCAAUAAAUUUAUAAUUCCGUACCAACAAUAUUCAAUUCGUACGGACUGCAGCAUACCAUAGCCCAAUAAUAGUCUCUCCCAACAAGGAGAAUGGCUUUCAUUAUAUAUUCUGUUCAACCCAUUACCCGUCACAAUGUUAGACUAAUUGCCCAGACUUGGACCAUGUCAAUUGAACAAUCUCCGUAGAUCAAUCAGCCUGGCAUGACAUUGUUUCAUCAUCAAUCUUCUACGAAAUAACUGAGAACUCUUAAACACUGAAGCCACAGUUUUGUACCAAGCUUGCAGGUAGUUGCUGUCUACAAUUCAGCCGAAUUGACGAUCUGGUUCUAACUUUUUCAAUCAAGAAAAUUACACCAAAUUCAGAUUUACACUAGUGUCGAAUGUUACAUGCAUGAUUUUUUUUUUCGCAUUGAAGUCAGCAGUGGCAGAACCAGAAAUUAUCCUUGGGUGGGACACAGCAAAGUCAAUGUUACCCAAUCUCAUUUUCUAUCACCAAAAGUAAUAAAUUCAUAUAAUUGUGAUAUACUCCAGUAAAAUUCACCACAACGACUAAUUAAAAGUUAAAUUAAUGGAAAAUACAUUAUAUAAAAGCAUUCAUAUAUGUUUUACUGAAUUAGCAUCCUGCUGACUGCAUCAUCCUCUAAUACUGGAACAUCUCCUUCCCGUAUCCAGCGAGGAUGGAAGAUAACUACCCAGAUAUCAUCUUGAGAGCUACAUUAUUCGACCAGUUUCCUGCAUAAAUAACGGAUACAAUAAGAUUGAUUGAAAUAUAUAGAAAGGCCAUUGGAUUGUUAGAAAAUCAAACAUGACCAUCAAAUCUGAUAAUGUGUAUAAUUAGGUUGAAUCUUUUGCAUACUUCAACUACAAGGUGAGAAUUAGCUUGAAUUGCCAUGGUGAUUGUUACUUAACCCAAAUUACCAAAUUUCCCUAAUAAUGUACCAAAUUUUGAUAAUUUCUACAAAUACAGGACUGAAAUCUGGUGAAUCCAAAAUCCAAAACUGGAGAUACAGAAUUUCUAGGUCCAAUUCGGUCCUAACUUGUAAUUGUUGUUUCGAUUUCUUGUGUCAGCCAUGGAACGAAAAGCUUGAAAGCAAGAAUCUAAAGAAUAAUAACGAUAAACAUAAAAGAAUACGCACACACACAAAAUUAAAAUAGGUUAUUAAUAGAAAACAAGAUUGAUGAAAAAGGUAAAAGUGUAAGAAUAUGGAAAAGAAAAAAAAAAGACCGACGGUCUGCAUAAAAGGAAAUUAUUUGAAUUUGAAGAAGGGUUACACCCAAUGGUGUAAAUACAAAAUGCAUAAAAUCACACAAGGGUAUAUAAAUGAAAAUUAUAUAUAACCUAAUAUAAAUAGAAAUGAUAUAUAACCUAAUAUAUAACUCUCAUAAGAAUCUCAUUAGUGUGGGUAUUAAAUGUUAUAUACAUACACACAUCCACCCCAUUCUCUAUAAUUCCUCCCCUCUUCCUCGCUUUCUCUUUUUUUCGCCCUAGCCCUCUCCCCUUUUCCAUCUCUUCCCGGCUCUUCCUCCCGGGUUCCCAGCGCUCCCCUUCCUUCCCCCUCCGCCCUUUCUUCUCGCUAUUAAUUAACCCUUAUUUUUAAAACAAAGUUGACUCUCAAAUUUAUCGCGAGUGACAGUCCCAAAUUAAUCGGUUCAAUUAACUGGAUACUGAAUUGUUAAAAACAAAAUAAACAACCAAGAUCGUGUGAUAAUUUUUGCUUGAUUUAUUUAGAACAAAGUAACAGUGACCAUUAAAGUAUAACCACAUUGCAAUUCUCACAUAGCUUUCUAUUUUAUUUGUUACAGAAUCUAAUUACUCAUAAAGAUUAGAAGCCAAGCGAGGGGCGAUUAAGACUUCAAGCGGAGUGGCUUUGAUGUUGGUUAGCCCAGCGCUCUCGGUCAUGUCAACGGGCCCAGUGCCCGGAGUUGAAAGCCCAAAUCCAUGGAGCAACCUAGCCAGCACCAAGUGCAACAUUUGGACACCAAACACAAUUCCGGGGCACAACCUCCGCCCCGCCCCAAAUGGUAUCAGCCCAAAAUGCCGGCCCCUAACAUCAAAAUCUUUGUGGGUUGUGAGGAACCUCUCGGGCCGGAACUCGGACGGGUCGGGCCAAAUUGUUGGGUCUCUUUGGAUUUUCCACAGGUUCACCAUUAGCCUCGUGCCUUUUGCAAUGUAGUAGCCAUGAACGGUACAAUCUUCUGUAAACUCCCUUACACCUGAUAGUGGACCCGCGGGAUAUAACCGUAAUGUCUCUUUGACUAUAGCUUGGAGGUAUGCCAGCUUGGGGAUGUCUGAUUCGUCCACUGUCUUCUUGACUCGUUGGAAGUCAAGUCUUCUGGAGGCUUUCUUUCAAAUUCACGUGGCGGUUGUUCAUUAUUAGGGAGAGUGCCCACGUCAGCAUCACUGUUGUGGUGUCUGCUCCUCCAGAGAUCAACCCCUGGAUGCAGAUGGAGAAAUAUGAAGGCCUCACAGGUUAUUUUUUAUUAUUUUAAUAUAUCUCUUUUUUGUUCUUGAUCCUUUAUAAAAAAAUAAAUUAUAUUUUGCACCCUUAUAUUUUUAUCGAAAUAUCUUUUUUCAUCAUUGGAAGGAUAAAAAAAUAAUUAUUAGAAAAAAAUAUGAUCGUUGUAAACAUUGAUAGUUGAAAAAUAAUCUUUUUAAAAAAAUAUUGCAGUUGGAACAAUAUGACGGUAUUAGAAGUAUGACUGUUGAAAACAAAUUAUAGUAUAAAAUUAAUAAAUAGUAAAUAAAUAAUAAUUAAAAUUAAAAUAUAAAAGCUAAAGUAACUUGUUAAAAUAGAAUAUGUAAUUUUUGAGUUAUAAUUUGACUCAAAUUUUAUGACGUGGAUGUGGAUACUAUAAGAGGUGACAGUUGAAAGGAAAUCUGUAUUUUACAGUAAUAACACUUAAACCUAAGCCUCAUACUUGGUAAAGGACCACCUUAAUCACUAAACAACCCUUGGUCUUACAUUCUCCUUUAGCAAAAAUGCAUUUUCUUUUAUUUAUAUAGCCAAAUUAUGAAAUUACUAAGGCUCAGUUUGACUUAAAUUUUUUGGAGAUUUUUUUGUGAGUUUUUUUGUCAUCAAUGAUUUGUUUUAACUAUUUGAGAAAAUUUUAUAUGUUUUCGAUUUUCAUGAUGAGAGGAUUAUGAAAAUGUAAAAUAUUCAUUUAAUUUAAAAAAAUUAUUUAAAAAAUUAUUUUUACUCAACAAACUAGCUAUUUGUUUGUAAUGGAAUUUUUUUUCAAAUUUAAAUAAGUUUUUAUAUUUUCAGAUUCUGCUGAUUAAGAGCAACAAAAAAAAUAUAGAAUUUUUUUUUAUUAAAAAGAAAAAACGAAAAAAAAACAAAGCAGUUAAAAAAUUUUGCAAAAAAUAUUACAAACAGGACAUAAAUAUAAAAAUAAAAGAAUGUAUUUGUAAUAAAAAAAUGGAGUAUAAAAAUAUUUUCUUAAUUUUUUUAUCUUAAAAUAUUGCAAAGUAAGCAAAAACAAAAACUGACGAAGACGAAAAUACGGAGCACUGUAGUAGAAGACAAACCAGACACGUGGCUUUGUUGAUGGUGUCAACAUCGUAACGUCCAAGGUCUGCCCCUUCAAGGGUCGUAAUACAUAACGUCCAUGAAGUCCUCAUCAGCCUUAGCCACACCAGUCGCUCUCUCUCUCCGGUGCUCCUCUAACCAUCCCGAAACAAUAGCGUCCAUUUCUUUGCCAGUCUCCUUCAUGGCCUUCUCGCGGCCACCCAAGUCCAGCCACCGCAGGAACGGCACGGUGUCAGACACCAGAAACAGCCCCAAAAAGUAAAAGAACUCCCUGAACGCCUUCUGGCACCGCCGCCCCUCCUCCUCAUCGCCGCCACAGCCGCCUGCCCCGAAGAACCUUUUUUGGGAAUUUAGACAUAAUAUUGAGAAAUAGUCAAGUAAAUGUAACAAAAAUAAAUGAACAUUUGAAUUCAUGAUUCAUGAAAAUCAAG
rnacentral:lncRNA from 1 species